rnacentral:rRNA from 1 species
AACGAACGCUGGCGGCAGGCUUAACACAUGCAAGUCGAGCGCCCCGCAAGGGGAGCGGCAGACGGGUGAGUAACGCGUGGGAAUGUACCCUUUGCUACGGAACAGCUCCGGGAAACUGGAAUUAAUACCGUAUGUGCCCUUCGGGGAAGAGAUUUAUCGGCAAAGGAUCAGCCCGCGUUGGAUUAGCUAGUUGGUGGGGU